CUUCGUGCGAUCCAGGGAGCUCGUGUCUGUGCUGCAUCUGACGUCUUGUUGAUACGGCUCAAGAUGAGCAGAAUGAAGGUCAAUCUCGAAGUCCCACAGUCAGAGCUCAAGACCUGUGAGGCAGGACUUCAUUCCUUGAUGAAUGCGGCUCAACUGCUAACAGGAUAAGAAGACACGGACCAGGAGAAGUUGGACGCUUUUUAGAAUUUCCCCUCGUACCGCUAGUGUCAUGGGCGGAGGGGAGCGAGGCUGCGCUGCGCUGCCAUCUCCGAAGACAACACGCCUCUGAGUGUGCGCCUCCUAGUUUGUGCGGCAAUGUUCCCCGUGUUCAAUGAAAAAAUUAAAUGCCCCAGCGCUCAGAACUCCCAUCUAGUAUUGACGCAAGAGCUCUCCCAAAUGUCGACCGGAAAGUCGUUAAAAAAUCGUUGCGACGGUCGGCUCGACAAGCUGAAGACCGCGCCAGUGAAUGCAUUUGAAACGACACCUGUACGCUCCCAUCGCCAGGCCCAAAGACGUGUUGUUCAUAGGUGUCUUUCACAAUACUAGUGUUGCUGAUCGCGGAGGACCACUGUCCACUGCUCGUCCGCUGUGGCGUUACUUCUGAUGAGGCUCAGAGCGCAUGUUUACUGUGAACAACCUGUUGAAAUAUAU